rnacentral:lncRNA from 1 species
UGCAAUCUAGGAUACCUAGGAAUAGAGUGAUUCAUGGGAAGCGGGUGGUAUGGCGCCACUUAGCGGAACAUUGAUAUCACGAGCAGUUCAGACCCUGGUGGGAUGCUGUCGUUACAUACUUCGGGUGUGUAUAUGACAGUAUUCUGCGAAAGGUUAUUUAUGCUGCGUUUCUCUCAAGCCUUACCCUGGCCUAGACUACACCCGUGAGUGGGGAAGGGUUAUUUCAUUACAGGUACCGUUGGUGACUCGGUUCUGUUGGUGACUUGGUUCUGAUGGUGACUUUGUG